ACAUCAGUGCUUCUCACGCCAAAACAAUCACUAACUUCAGACUGAGAAUGUAACAAAAAGGAAACAUAAAUCAACUUCUCUGUCAAUCCCAUUAUCUUGAAUUUUAUAGCCCACCACAACCCUCUUGUCCCCUUCUCUUCACCUCCCAAGAUUCUCUGUUUUUUCUUUUCUUUUUAUAGCGCCAGGAGUUGAAUAUAGACCAUACACUGAUACAAAUGCAUGUAGUGCGUGUCUAUAUAUCUGAACUUCAAUCUUGAUUCUGUUUCUUGGGUCUCUUUUUUCCUUUUCUUUUCUAUUUUGUUGGAAAGAUAGAGAUGGGGUUGAAAAGUGCUUGGUUAGUGGUGGUGUUUUUGUUUCUUGGGGUUGCUGUGGCAAAGAAUGUGAAUGGGUUGAAUGUAUGGCCAAUGCCGAAGUGGGUGAGUAGAGGGCACAGGAGGGUUUACAUGAGUCAAGAUUUUGAGCUGGUUACUGAUGGGAGCAAGUACAUUGAUGGCUCUGAGAUUUUGAAGGAUGGCUUUACAAGAAUGCUUGAUGUAGUGAAAGUUGCUCAUGUUGUUGAUGGUGAUCUUUCUAGCGUAGACAAGUCUCUCAUCAUUAAAGGAAUUCAUGUUCUUAUUUUCUCACCAGAUGACCAGGUAUGGAGUCAUUGGUUAUCAAUUAUCUUUCCAGUCAGAGCCUUUUCUUUUCUUUUCUGAUUAUUACCUGAUCAGUUCAUUCACACGGGCCUAAAGAUUAAUGUUUAAAAGUCUGGGAAUGUGAUUCUUCUGAGCUAGGCUAAGAAGAAGUCAUUUUCUCCUUUUUCUUUCCACUUGUAUAAAAUUUUCAUUAUCACCGCUGACAACUUUUUUAAAAAAGUUGUUUUUUUUUCCCGAUCUUGAAAUACAAAGUGAUGUGCAAUUUGAUAAUCCUUUUGUUUUAACUUAUUUUUCACUAAAUACAGCAAUUAUUAGGAAGUAAUCAAGUAUGAGCUGUAGCUAUCAUUAAGUUUUAUUUAAACAACAAUCAAGGCUUUUUUUUUUUGGCAUUUUAGAUGAAAUCUGGAGAGCUCCUUCCUUUAAUUUAGAUUAAACAAAUGCUCCUUCUUCCUGUAUUGUGGUGUGCUUUUACAGUUACAAUAUGGUGUUGCCGAGUCAUACAAACUGCUGGUUCCUUCACCAGAGAUGCCAGAUUACGUCCAUCUUGAGGUGGGUGCGCAACCACUACCUUUUAUCUUUUUAGCAAUUUUGUUUAACAACUUACACCUGCCCAACUCAAUUGUAAUAAGUAUCUUUCUCAAGGAAGAUGUUCAAAUAGUAAAACUUGAAAGAAAAUGCUGCUGGAUUUUGUCUGACAUUUCCUAAAAUAGUUUUCAUAUAUUUAUGUUGAAAUGUAGCUUUGACAUAUUUGGAUGUGCCAUAUAGCCAUCGCAUUGACAAAUGUUUCCAGUCUCAAUGUUUUGGACGAGGGGAAGGAGUCUCAAAGGAAUUAUUCGAUGUCCUAUCUAGAUUAGUGAACUUAAACCUAGUAUUUGCUUACGAGACGGGUCAAUCAUGCAUUGUAGAGAACCAAUAACAUUAAAUCAUGUUUUAUAAAAUCUUCCACUAUGAUGAUUAUAAUCAAUGAUGGAGUGGGACCUUGCUGAAGCAUGGUUGUUUUUUUCAUAAUUUUUGAACUCAUGUUCUGUCGAGGCACCAAAUUGAUACAUUUAAUGGUCAAUGCUGAAUUUGGUCUACAUCAGUAAGCUUUGAUUCAUGUAAAUUGUUUGAUCAAUUCAAAUUCUGUUUGGCAACAUUACAGGCGCAGACUGUUUAUGGGGCGUUACAUGGGCUUCAGGUUUUAUACUAAUCCUUAAGACAUGAAAUUGUAACUCUUUUGAUAUUCCUACCAAGUUCAAAAUUGUCUAAGUUUGCAUGACAAUAAAUUUUGUAGACAUUCAGCCAAUUGUGUCAUUUUAACGUUACAAGUAGACUGAUUGAAGUUCACAUGGUCCCGUGGACUAUCAUUGAUCAACCAAGAUUCUCUUAUCGAGGGCUCUUGAUUGGUGAGUUGUUUUCUGCAGUCCUUUUCUGUAAUAUGUUUAGUUUACUUUUGAUGUAUAUGUUUUUCAAAGCCCCUGCUGAGGGCUUUAUUCCAUGUACUAGCUUCUGGUUUGAUAAGGUUGGCAAUUACCACUGAAGGUUUUGAUGGGAAGAAAGUUUACUUCUUGUGAAAUGGGUCUGGAGGGCUAUCCCAAGCUGACAUUGGGCCACUUGAAAAGCUUGAUGUCCAAUUGUUUGGUCGAUUCUGUUUUUAUAUCUCAAAUCCACUCUGUAUUUUCAAAUUCUAAUGUGCUUGUCUGACUUACAAGUGGAAUUUGUGCAGAUACAUCAAGACACUAUCAGCCAGUGCCAAUGAUUAAGAAAGUAAUUGAUUCCAUGGCCUAUGCAAAAUUGGUAUGUGAUGCAUAGUUAACUAAUCUAUAGUUGAGAAUCUUUUAGAAUAUUAGGUGAAAUAAAUACAUAUUUGUUCUAAUGUUUGCUGGAAAAUAAUCAGUUGUAUUUUGCUUUUAGCAUUAAAGGUAUAAGAGGUUUUCAUGAUCGCAUUUGUUGAGGAGUAUCAUCCCUAUUUCUGUUCAUAACCAUUUGCUAGGAUUUAGUUUGCCUGAAUUAGCUUCUUCCUCUAUAGGGACAGCAAUGAAGUUUGGGAAAUCUUGCAUCCAUAAAAAGGAUAGGAAAUAGUAAUUUGCGCAGCAGUGUUUAAGCCUUGGAUCUUGCACCAGGAAACCUAUCCAACAUGAAAUGAGACAGAAAUUUGGCAACUGUCGCUUAAAUCCUUUUUGAACAGAAAAUGGUGUUAACACAACAAUUUACUGUAAUUAGCAGUUUGCUGAUACGGUUUACUUUGUAACAAGCUGUAAUGUUGUUUCACACUGACCUUAUGUUGAUUUUUAUCAUCUAGCCUGUUGUAAGAACUCAGAUAGCUGUGGUAUUAAUCAUCUAGCCUGUUGUAAGACUCAGAUAGCUGUGGUAUUAACAGAAUUAGUCGGUGAGAAGUGGAUUUUCCUUGCAGAAGGUGUUAGCAGGUCAAUAAAACUAUUGAAAAACAAUACCAGUCAUUGGCCUUUAUGAUUUUUUUCUGUUGCAAAUGCAGAAUGUGUUGCACUGGCACAUUGUAGAUACCCAAUCUUUCCCUUUGGAGAUACCUUCAUAUCCACAUCUGUGGGAUGGGGCUUAUUCAGUUUCAGAGCGGUACACUUUUUCUGAUGCUGCUGAAAUUGUGAGGCAAGUGAUUCUGCUGUCUUCACCUUCUACAAACUUAUUGUCUAUGUAGUUUUAUCAUCUCUAAUAUGUCAAGAAAAAAAUUUGCAGUUAUGCUCAAAGGAGAGGAAUUAAUGUAUUAGCUGAACUUGAUGUUCCUGGACAUGCUCUCUCAUGGUAAUAGUAACAUCCUCGUAUGGUGGUUUUCUCUGUUGUCUCAGUUAUAUUCCUUUCAAAAAUUACUGUGCAUGUAUCUAUGAGAUCAGGAUGCAAACUUUUAACCCCAAAAAUUGACACUUGUUCAUUUAAAAAAAGAAUCUUAUCCUCUUCAAGUGAAUAAUGGCAGGAUUUGAAUUUCUGAUCAUUCAUGGCUUCUGCAAUAGCUACAGAAAAAUUCCCAGGAAAAGACUUUAUAGAUCAUGACUGGCUGAUGUAAUGACUGCCAUGUCUUUCCAGGUGUUGGGGGGAAUAUUUAUACAGCUUUCUAAUUUAGUUUUUGCAAGAUGCUAGAUAACAACAAUCUAUAUUUCUUAACGGAUAGAAUUUAAGAAUUCAUCGGAAUUAUCACAGAAUUAGGUAAUGUUCAAUCCACGAGGAUGUGUAGAACAUUUUUUCAUAGAAGCUGCCAUUGGUCACUUGACUUGAUGAUGAUGUGUCUUUCUGUUGACCUGUAUGAUUUACCUAUUAGAUGUUCUUCCUCGCAAACAAUAGAGUUGGGUACUUAUUGUCAAUGUAUAUGGAAAGAAUAUCAACAAUAUAUGGCAACCAAAUUGUAACAGAAUAUCUUGUAUUUAUUGUAUUUAUUAUAGACUACAAAUCAGGGAUUAUAGACUACAAAUUAGGGAUUAUUACAUGUAUUUAUAGGACUCAAUUCUUCCUUUCAGAAUCAAUGAAAAUACAGAGAACUUUACAUUGAAAUCUGAUAAUUGUGACAUGGUAUCAGAGCCGGUUAUUCUCUAAUCUAGAUCUUUUGUUCUUUUCUUAAGUCUAUAGACUGAAUUCAUCAGUAUUUGGUGAUAUUUUUUUUGAGAUUCCUAGGAUGUCUGGAGAGGCUUUUCUUACUCGAUUCAAUGGCAAAAACUAUGCUAGUUGGGAGUUUCAGUUUCGUAUGUUUGUUAAAGGGAAGGAAUUAUGGGGGCAUCUUGAUGGAUCUUCACCAGCACGUGACACUUAUAACACCCUGCCAACUUGUAUCCAAUAAAACUGCUUGUUCUCAAAAGUUUUGAGGUUAUAAAGAUGUUAUUUUAUGAGUAAUGCUGGCAAACCAAAAGGUUGUUUGUAGCUCAUGGAUCUAUUGCAGUUAGCCUCAGUGAACUUUCUGCAGAAGUGAUGAAUGCUAAUGGUUUUCAGGGCCAAACAUGAGAAGGAUUAAGGGCUAUUGUUUAGUGAUAUCUGGUGAAAGUCUAGGUUGGUGACCAAGGCAUUGUAGAUACGAGGCCUGGGGGUAGCCAUUUGAUGCAAAAUGCUGCAGCGCUGAACCAUUUUCAGAGUUCCUUUCCUAGGAUUGUACUUCUAUGGGACCACAAAUGGGCAAGCCUUUAUGGCUAACUCAGACUUCGGUGCAUAGUUUAGAUUGUCAUGAAUUUGUGACUUUGUAUUUUAAAAACCUAUGGCAAGGCGGGUUCUGUAGGUUUCCCUUGUUGCCAAAAGAUGCAAACUCACAAAAACAAUAAAAAUAUUUGACGUUUUCCAUUUCUUGCAAUAUGGCCAUUAUGAUAGAAUGGUAUCACAAACUAUGAUCUCCAAAUGACUUAAAUGGAUAUUUUUCCCCUGUAAUUAGGGGGCAUGGCUAUCCUUCUCUAUGGCCAUCAAAAGACUGUCAGCAGCCACUUGAUGUCAGCAAUGAAUUUACAUUCAAAGUGAUAGAUGGGAUUCUUUCAGGUAAUGCCUGCACUUUCAAUUUAGAACAGUGUGGUUUGAUAUCAAUAAGUUGUCAUGUCAGAAGACUAAGAAAAUAUAUGUAAAUUUGCAAGUUAGCUUAAUUUGGGUGAAAAACAAAAAUGAAAGGAUGAAUGGUUAACAUUAUUACUUUUUUCACGUUCAGAUUUCAGUAAGAUCUUUAAAUUCAAGUUUGUUCACUUGGGAGGUGAUGAAGUUGACCCAAGUAAGUUCAAUAGUUACAUUUUGCUAUCACCAUUUUUGUAUUGAUUGUUUAUUGUUUAUGGAGCAUUUUUUUUUUAUUAUUAUUAUUUUGUUUCUUGGCCUCUGGGGAUUUUCUUUCCUUUUAUCAUAUCUUUUCUUCUUUUAUUUUUGGGUGUAUGUGUUGAAACAUGGUAUUUGAUGUUAAUGAAAAUAUAGGGGCCACAGGUUAUUUGCUUCCGUUUGCUCUUAAUUUUUGAAAUAUACAUCUAUGGAGCUUCACAUUAUUGACAAGCAACUGUAUGAGUCUUUUUCAGGUUGCUGGACAACAACUCCCCACAUAAUAAAAUGGUAACAAUCCCACGAAUUCUACAUGCAAAGUAACUGAUGUUUCUUUUCUUUUCUUUUUUUUCUGUAGACACCGAGUAUAUCACAUUAUUAUCUUCAUGCUUGAUGUCCACAACCAUAUUUUCCUCGUUUUGUAGUUAAUACAUGUGGAUUUACGUGGGUACUGUGUGUUUGCUGUACAUGACAUCACUGUUACAUUAUUUUAUGAUUACUGCUAUUAUUGGAUUUCCUGAGAAAUAACUAGCAUGUCAGACUCACAGCUAUUUCUUUUAGUUUUUGUUUUUCUCCCAUUCGAUGUACCUUAAAAGAGCAUGCAAUUGUAACAAAAGAGAGAGGGCAUGUAAAUUGUAUUCGUAUUGUAUGUUGUUUGACCUUGACGUGAUCACGAUACUGUCUAUUCUGAAACCUGCAGGUUAAAAGAGCAUAGAAUGAAUGGAUCUCAAGCUUAUCAGUACUUUGUCUUGCGGGCACAGAAAAUAGCUUUGUCCCAUGGAUUUGAAAUUGUUAACUGGUACGAACAAUUCUGGAUAAGGUUAGAUAUCAAAUUUCACUGGUUUUAUAUCUUAUCCAAUCGUGCAAUGAAACAGGGAGGAGACCUUCAAUGACUUUGGAAAUAAAUUGAGCCGGAAGACUGUGGUGCACAAUUGGUAUGCCAUACUUUCUGCAUAAUUUCAUAAAAUGACCUUGUCAUGAUGCAUCUUAACAUGGCCACCCUGUAGAUCAGUAAAUGAACAAAUAUAAGCAUCAUUUAUCCAUGAUGCAACCGUCUAUUUGCUUGUUGGACUUGUAGUAUUGAGAGACUAGAAUCAAGAUUAUAUAAAAAAUGGGAAAAGCUCCCCUGUGCAGAAUAUGAAUUUUGGUUAAUCGAUACAGCUAAACUUGACUUGAUAAGGGUGUUAAGAUGUUUUAGUCCAUCUGCAAUGCUAAUUGUGACAAGUAAUUUUUAUAUGCUAGAAAAAGUCAAAUGUAGUAGUUGGUAAAGAGUGUCGUUCUCGCUACUAUUAAUUCUCACUACUUAAAUAUUUGCUAGUUCUGAAGAGUGACAUCUGGUUCACCUGGUCCAAGUCCAUUAAUGUUUAGAUGAAAACUUCAGGAACUCUUUCUCUUUGUGAAUUCACAUAUUGUAAUCACAAUUAAAAUUACUGUAGAUAUUAGACAAUCAGUGAACAUUGUUGAGUUAAUUACACCAAGCAAAUAGAUCUUAGAGAUGAUUGUAUUUGCACUGCCAUAAUAAUUUUGUUUGUCCUUGUAUUUCGGGCACACUUGAUCUUUAGCAUACAAUUUUCUUUGCAGGCUUGGAGGUGGAGUUGCUGAGCAAGUGGUUGCAUCUGGGUUGAGGUGCAUUGUGAGCAACCAGGACAAAUGGUAUCUAGAUCACUUGGAUACUCGUUGGGAAGAGUUCUAUAAGAAUGAACCACUUACAAAUAUAACAAACCCCGAGCAACAGAGUUUAGUUCUUGGGGGGGAAGUAUGCAUGUGGGGAGAAACGGUGGAUGCGUCAAACAUUGAACAAACCAUAUGGCCACGUGCUGCAGCUGCUGCAGGUAUUUAUUGUAUAUCAUGUCAAUUGACAACGAAAUUGCUGAGACGUUGCAACAUAUUCAUAUUAAGUUAUCCAGUUUUCUUGUUUUCAAUACCAUGUAGUUGAUGGUCAUUGAAAAGGAUUGUGCAGUGACACAAACAAUAUUAUAAAUCUGAUUUCAUAUUAGCUUCCUAGUCACAUAAAUUGGUCACAAUCUUGGUGAAUUUACUACUGUUGAUCUUAAGGGUUCAUGAAACUAUACGCUUUGUGGAUGCUUCUGUGUAUUAAGAGAUCUGCCUUUCCAUCCCAAAGGUGGUUUUAGUUGAUACAUGGUUAUCACUGCUAACAUUCAUGGACCAAGGCAGGUGACUGGUAGUCUCAUUUGAAGAGGCACCAGAUGAUGCCUUGAGUGAUUUUUAGAGUUGACUAGUUUUGAUCUUUUUUAGAAUCCUCUUAAAGGUACUUCUUGAGAAACUUUUCCAUCAUUAUAGGAGAGAUAAAAACUUUAACUAUACAUCUUUCUUCCCUCUGUUUUUAAGCCCAGCAUGUCAAAUCUUCCAUUUUUUUGUUUCUGCUCUCUACUCAGCUUAAUCUUUCAUGCAAACUGUAUCUUCACUUCAAAAUAAUGAUUUUAUUCUCUCUGUUUUCUGUUCCUAUGUGAUUGAAGAGCGGCUAUGGACACCUUAUGACAAGCUAGCGAAGGAUCCAGAAAAAGUUGCUGGAAGGUUAGCGCACUUCAGGUGUUUGUUGAAUCAAAGAGGGGUUGCCGCAGCUCCUUUAGCUGGACCAGGCCGAGGAGCACCUAUAGAACCAGGUUCUUGUAAUGCACAGUAAUGAGUACAAACACAUCUCUAAUUCUUGAGGGUGAAAUGCAGUUGAUUCAAAAUCACCCCCGGAUGUAAGGAACACGUAAUAAUGCAUCCUGGAUAUAUUCAGGUGGCUUCUGGUUCGAUUUUUAUGAAAAUAGUCCAAAAUGGUCGCACAAGUUCUGCCCAACUAAGUCCCUUCGUUCUUGAAGUGUUUGUGGUUGAAUCGUAAAGGAGACUUGCAAGGGAUUUCGAGUGUUUAUGGUGAAGUUUUUUCUUUUCUUUUUUUCCUUUGGAUCUUAUGAUAUCUGACCCCAAAAAUCAUUAAUUUGAACAGUUGAAAUUUACCUUGAAAGAUUAGUUCAUAACUUACUCAAGGAUUGCGCUUGGAAUUUGUUUAAGAAAAAUAAAUAAAAAUCAAAUUUUAAUUAUUGAUUUUUACUCAGAUUUCAUUAAUGGAAGAAUUAUGAAAGGAGAAACUCGAAGCAUUUUUUUAUCAUAUUUUAACCGACAAUAUACCUUCAAGGUAUCUUGUCGAAAGUAAUUUAUGAAUUUUGGGAAUAAAUAAAGCAGCUUCAUACUCAAGGAAAAUAAGCUAUAUUCCCAAGGAAAAUCUCCCUCAAGUGGUUUCUUGGGUUUGAAGAACAGAGUUGAACUUAAAUCUUAUACUGGCAAGGAUUGAGAAUCUCCAAUGAACCCCGGAAAACUAUAAACUGUCCAAUGCAUUUGACACCCGACAAUUCCUGGACUAAUAAAAACUUUCCCAGUUUACCCGAAUUUCCAAAGAACACUAAAUCGUUUAGCCACCGAACAAAUUAAAGACCGUGACGGACCAAUCUUUUUAGUGAACAUAGAUUGAUUACAUGUCUUUCAAAUACUUAAUUUCCAUUUACUUAAUCUUUUUACUUAAUACAUGUAUAAUUAUGUUUUCAAACGCUCACUAAAUAUUAACGGAGAAGAUUGAAUUUUGAACUUCAAGAAUAAGAAUAGCAGGGAAAUCUACAAUUUAUAUUAGGAUUUUGCCUCCUAAAUGACACGAUAUUUAUUGCAAAGAUUUUUUUCUUCAAAUGGUGUCAUGUGAAUCUCAGCACAUUUAAUGUCAUAGCUAUAAUCAUCUAAUAAAAUGAUUUUUUUUUUUAAAAAUAGACAAGCAUGUUAUUUUUUAAAAAAUUAUUAUCUAAUCACCACUGUUUUAUAAAUAAAAAACAGUGAUAAUUAUUUUUCAAAGUAUUUUAAUUUUUAAAAUACAUUAAAAUAUUUUUUUAUUUUUUAAAAUUUAUUUUUGACACUAGCAUAUUAAAAUGAUAAAAAAAUCAUGUAAAAAAAUAUUUUUUUAAAAAAAUAACAUUUUUACAACAAAAACAAUCAAGGUAGAAGUAGAAAAAGUUAGAAAAAAAUGAUUUUUCUAAGAGUUCAUUUGUUUUUACAUUUUAAAAAUGUUUUUGAAAAUAAUUUUUUUUUUACUUCAAAUUAAUAUAUCUUAAUAUUUUUCAUAUCAUAUUGAUGUGUUAAUACUAAAAAUAAAAAAAAUUAUUCAAUAUAUUUCAAAGUAAAUAACACUAUAAAAAAACAACCACUACUACAAUACUUAAAAAUCAUGCUUUUUAAAGUGAUUGGGAGUUUUAUUGCCGUUACUUUUUAAAGUGCUUUUUAUUUAGAAAAGCAUGCUAAAAAUAUUUUUUUAUAUUUUAAAAAUUAUUUUUAAGAUUAACACAUCAAAAAAAUUUAAAAACAUAAAAAAACAUAUUAAUUUUAAAAAACAAAUUUAAAUUUUUUAAAAAACACUUUUCACCAACAAUGCGAAACACCCUCUAAUCCACUUUUAAGUUUGCAUGUCGACCAGAAUGAAAAUUUAAAAUCAUAUAGUUACUAUAAAAUUCAAAACGCUGUAUUUUCUUUUGCACCCACGUAUAAAAAGUAGCGGCAAGUAUGAGAAGGAAGGAGGAAUUGAGUUCAAAACUCACCUCUUUUUAGAGUUCAAAACACAUGCUAAAGACCUAUGAAUAUGUCACUGUACAUUCACAGGCAUUCAUUAUUCACCAAACAAUGGAUACCUUCCGUUACUGCUUGGACCAGAUUAGAUUUUGGAUUUACAAUUAUAAUCUUCUUAAGACAACAACAGGAGAGGAUGGCAGAGAGAAUAAAGAAAGAAGGAAAGCCCACCUCACAAUCUCACAUCAGUGCUUCUCACGCCAAAACAAUCACUAACUUCAGACCGAGAAUGUAUCAAAAAGGAAACAUAAAACAACUUCUCUGUCAAUCCCAUUAUCUUGAAUUUUAUAGCCCACCACAACCCUCUUGUUCCCUUUUCUUCACCUCCCAAGGUUCUCUGUUUUUUCUUAUCCUUUUAUAGCGCCAGGAGUUGAAUAUAGACCAUACACUGAUACAAAUGCAUGUAGUGUGUGUCUAUAUAUCUGAACUUCAAUCUUGAUUCUGUUUCUUGGGUCUCUUUUCUUUCCUUUUCUUUUUAUCUUGUUGGAAAGAUAGAGAUGGGGUUGAGAAGUGCUUGGUUAGUGGUGGUGUUUUUGUUUAUUGGGGUUGCUGUGGCAAAGAAUGUGAAUGGGUUGAAUGUAUGGCCAAUGCCGAAGCGGGUG
rnacentral:lncRNA from 1 species